rnacentral:rRNA from 1 species
UACAGAGGGUGCGAGCGUUGUCCGGAAUCACUGGGCGUAAAGGGCGCGUAGGCGGCUUGAUAAGGUUGCGGUGAAAGCCCGGGGCUCAACCCCGGGUCGGCCGUGGCAACUGUCGAGCUGGAGCACUGUAGAGGCAGGUGGAAUUCCGGGUGUAGCGGUGGAAUGCGUAGAGAUCCGGAAGAACACCGGUGGCGAAGGCGGCCCGCUGGGCAACUGCUGACACUGAUGCGCGACAGCGUGGGGAGCAAACAGG